UACGUAGGUGGCAAGCGUUGUCCGGAUUUACUGGGCGUAAAGAGCGCGCAGGCGGUCGUUCAAGUCGCGUGUGAAAGCCCCCGGCUCAACUGGGGAGGGUCACGCGAUACUGAUCGACUCGAAGGCAGGAGAGGGUAGUGGAAUUCCCGGUGUAGUGGUGAAAUGCGUAGAUAUCGGGAGGAACACCAGUGGCGAAGGCGGCUUCCUGGCCUGUUCUUGACGCUGAGGCGCGAAAGCCAGGGGAGCAAACGGG
rnacentral:rRNA from 1 species